UUAUACCUCAGACAGCAUUCGCUCACACACACAAUACAUAUAAAGAAAUUCAAUGAAACAGAAAAGAAAUGAACAAGAAUAGAAAGGCAACUAGUGUGAUUAUCAUUAUUAUCUCACUUCUUCUGCAUUACAGCAUUGCUUCAGGUGAGAAGGACACAAUGAACCAGAUGUUUAGCAGAGGACUUCGACUUAUUGUGGAAGUUCCUCACAUCCGUAUUGAACGCCAGGUGACUCCGAAAGUGCAUGUUCUUCUCCCUGCUGGAGGUCAGAAGCAGCGAUCAGAGAGAGUGACGCUGGCGUGUGUCAUCACCGGCUUACAGUCUAAAGCGCUGAGGAUCACAUGGAAGGUAAACGGAGCCACAGGUCUGAAAAAACACGCCAGCUCUCCACAAGUGCACCGAGAGCCUGGAGGCACAUUCUGGGCUGUGGGACUGUACUCGGUUCUGGCUCAUAAAUGGAGUGCUGAGAAUAUGUACAGGUGUGAGGUGACAUACAAAGCGGCGUUUCACUAUGAUAAGGCAGAGUCGUCUCUCUGCAGUCCUCCUGAGGGACUGUAA